UAUAUAUAGGUGUUUUGUGCACGUAGGAUUUUGAUUCCUAAAGAGGAAUUUACAUUUCAUAUAUAA
rnacentral:tRNA from 3 species